GAAAUUUAAAGCAAAGGAAAAAUCGAAGUCUGUGAGAUAAUGGAGAAAGAAACUUAGCAAGCAGAUGACUCA
ensembl:ncRNA C14F11.34 ncRNA